GGAUAACCCCGGGAAACCGGGGCUAAUACCGAAUAUGACCUGGCCUCGCAUGAGGCUUGGUGGAAAGUUUUUCGGCCUGGGAUGGGCUCGCGGCCUAUCAGCUUGUUGGUGGGGUGAUGGCCUACCAAGGCGACGACGGGUAGCCGGCCUGAGAGGGCGACCGGCCACACUGGGACUGAGACACGGCCCAGACUCCUACGGGAGGCAGCAGUGGGGAAUAUUGCACAAUGGGCGGAAGCCUGAUGCAGCGACGCCGCGUGAGGGAUGACGGCCUUCGGGUUGUAAACCUCUUUCAGCAGGGACGAAGCGUAAGUGACGGUACCUGCAGAAGAAGCGCCGGCCAACUACGUGCCAGCAGCCGCGGUAAGACGUAGGGCGCGAGCGUUGUCCGGAUUUAUUGGGCGUAAAGAGCUCGUAGGCGGCUUGUCGCGUCGACUGUGAAAACCCGCAGCUCAACUGCGGGCCUGCAGUCGAUACGGGCAGGCUAGAGUUCGGUAGGGGAGACUGGAAUUCCUGGUGUAGCGGUGAAAUGCGCAGAUAUCAGGAGGAACACCGGUGGCGAAGGCGGGUCUCUGGGCCGAUACUGACGCUGAGGAGCGAAAGCGUGGGGAGCGAACAGGAUUAGAUACCCUGGUAGUCCACGCUGUAAACGUUGGGCGCUAGGUGUGGGGGGCCUCUCCGGUUCCCUGUGCCGCAGCUAACGCAUUAAGCGCCCCGCCUGGGGAGUACGGCCGCAAGGCUAAAACUCAAA
rnacentral:rRNA from 1 species